rnacentral:lncRNA from 1 species
GACCAGUGAGAAUUGACUAUUUGUUUAUUUUUACUUUUUAUAAACAAUAGGGCCGUUCUAUAUUUCUUUAGCAACGUGGAGAACUAGUUUUUAUGGCAUUACCAAGUAAUUAGAGGAAAGGUAGGUUCUAUCUUUUAACUGAGAAAUAUUCUAUUAUUUUUACUAGCUUAAUUUCUUAAAUUCAAAUCUCAACUAUCUUGUGUGUUGCACCCAUUUGCAUUCCAUUCGGUGUGGCAG